UACGGGGGGGGCAAGCGUUGUUCGGAAUUACUGGGCGUAAAGGGCUCGUAGGUGGCCAACUAAGUCAGACGUGAAAUCCCUCGGCUUAACCGGGGAACUGCGUCUGAUACUGGAUGGCUUGAGUUCGGGAGAGGGAUGCGGAAUUCCAGGUGUAGCGGUGAAAUGCGUAGAUAUCUGGAGGAACACCGGUGGCGAAGGCGGCAUCCUGGACCGGCACUGACACUGAGGAGCGAAAGCCAGGGGAGCGAACGGG
rnacentral:rRNA from 1 species